rnacentral:rRNA from 1 species
GGAUCCAGACUUUGAUCCUGCCUCAGGAUGAACGCUAGCUACAGGCUUAACACAUGCAAGUCGAGGGGAAACGACAUCGAAAGCUUGCUUUUGAUGGGCGUCGACCGGCGCACGGGUGAGUAACGCGUAUCCAACCUGCCCAUCACUUGGGGAUAACCUUGCGAAAGUAAGACUAAUACCCAAUGAUAUCUCUAGAAGACAUCUGAAGGAGAUUAAAGAUUUAUCGGUGAUGGAUGGGGGUGCGUCUGAUUAGCUUGUUGGCGGGGUAACGGCCCACCAAGGCGACGAUCAGUAGGGGUUCUGAGAGGAAGGUCCCCCACAUUGGAACUGAGACACGGUCCAAACUCCUACGGGAGGCAGCAGUGAGGAAUAUUGGUCAAUGGGCGAGAGCCUGAACCAGCCAAGUAGCGUGCAGGAUGACGGCCCUAUGGGUUGUAAACUGCUUUUAUAAGGGAAUAAAGUGAGUCUCGUGAGACUUUUUGCAUGUACCUUAUGAAUAAGGACCGGCUAAUUCCGUGCCAGCAGCCGCGGUAAUACGGAAGGUCCGGGCGUUAUCCGGAUUUAUUGGGUUUAAAGGGAGCGUAGGCCGGAGAUUAAGCGUGUUGUGAAAUGUAGACGCUCAACGUCUGCACUGCAGCGCGAACUGGUUUCCUUGAGUACGCACAAAGUGGGCGGAAUUCGUGGUGUAGCGGUGAAAUGCUUAGAUAUCACGAAGAACUCCGAUUGCGAAGGCAGCUCACUGGAGCGCAACUGACGCUGAAGCUCGAAAGUGCGGGUAUCGAACAGGAUUAGAUACCCUGGUAGUCCGCACGGUAAACGAUGGAUGCCCGCUGUUGGUCUGAAUAGGUCAGCGGCCAAGCGAAAGCAUUAAGCAUCCCACCUGGGGAGUACGCCGGCAACGGUGCAACUCA